CUUUCUUAUUUGGUAAUUCAAGCGGUAUUUGUAAGGAGAUGCACUUCCUUGUGUGGGAAAUUCAAGCAACAUUUAUAAGGAGAUGCACUUUCUUGUUUGAUAAUUCAAGCAACAUUUGUAAGGAGACGCACUUCCUUGUUUGGUAAUUCGAUUGGCAUUUGUAAGGAGACGCACUUCCUUAUUCGGGUAAUUCUAGCAACAUUUGUAAGGAGACGCACUUCCUUGUUUGGGUAAUUCCAGCAACAUUUGUAAGGGGACG
rnacentral:lncRNA from 1 species